rnacentral:lncRNA from 10 species
GUCCACCCCCACUGAACUCUCCCAAUUGGGGAUGCUCUCAGCAUCUCUAAGAUGAAAUGCUGCACAGCCAGCAACCCAGGCAGCUGGGAGAGAAGGGGCCCCUGUGGUCUAACUGGCACCUGUUUAAUGGCUCCCAGUGGCAACAGCAUCAGCGCCCCCCACUCUGGUCAUACUCAGGAAACAGCUCACUUUAUUAUAAUAAAAUAGACUUUGUGUUAGUUGAUUUUGUCCACCUGUAGGCUAACGAAAGCAUUCUGGGCACGUUUAAGGCAGGUGAGGCUAAGCUAUGACAUUCGGUAGGUUAGGUGUAUUAAAUGCAUUUUCAACUUAGAAUAUUUUCAAAUCUUUUGUACAAGUGGAAAAAUUCUCACUCUUUCACCAAAAUGAAGAGACAGAGUCCUGGCCACUGUUGUUUCAAUUGCUGACAAUAUUCAUUACUCCUUAAAUUCUGCACAGUACCUAAAGGCUAAAUUGAGGUUCUCCUCCAACAGCUUGAAUAUAAAAUAG